CUGCGAGCUACCAUGCAGUCGAACGGCAGCACAGUAAGAGCUUGCUCUUACGGGUGGCGAGUGGCGGACGGGUGAGGAAUGCAUCGGAAUCUACUCUGUCGUGGGGGAUAACGUAGGGAAACUUACGCUAAUACCGCAUACGACCUACGGGUGAAAGCAGGGGAUCUUCGGACCUUGCGCGAUUGAAUGAGCCGAUGCCCGAUUAGCUAGUUGGCGGGGUAAGAGCCCACCAAGGCGACGAUCGGUAGCUGGUCUGAGAGGAUGAUCAGCCACACUGGAACUGAGACACGGUCCAGACUCCUACGGUAGGCAGCAGUGGGGAAUAUUGGACAAUGGGCGCAAGCCUGAUCCAGCCAUACCGCGUGGGUGAAGAAGGCCUUCGGGUUGUAAAGCCCUUUUGUUGGGAAAGAAAAGCAGUCGGUUAAUACCCGAUUGUUCUGACGGUACCCAAAGAAUAAGCACCGGCUAACUUCGUGCCAGCAGCCGCGGUAAUACGAAGGGUGCAAGCGUUACUCGGAAUUACUGGGCGUAAAGCGUGCGUAGGUGGUUGUUUAAGUCUGUCGUGAAAGCCCUGGGCUCAACCUGGGAAUUGCGAUGGACACUGGGCGACUAGAGUGUGGCAGAGGGUAGUGGAAUUCCUGGUGUAGCAGUGAAAUGCGUAGAGAUCAGGAGGAACAUCCGUGGCGAAGGCGACUGCCUGGGCCAACACUGACACUGAGGCACGAAAGCGUGGGGAGCAAACAGGAUUAGAUACCCUGGUAGUCCACGCCCUAAACGAUGCGAACUGGAUGUUGGUGCAUUUGGGCACGCAGUAUCGAAG
rnacentral:rRNA from 1 species